CCAAGGCUUUGGGCUGUCCUCUACUGCUUUCCCAGGCUGCAAACAGGGAGCUGGAUGGCAAGUAAAGCACCCAGGAUACAAGCCGGGAUCCCAGUGGUGGCAAGAUAUCCUCGUACCAACCUGUCAGUGAAGGCAGAUGAAGGAUGUUGGUAAUGAUGAAGGGCUGAUGAGAACAGGACAAGAGUCCUGCAGAAAGAUCGCACAGUUGCUGUAGGAAUCUGCAGGGAGAGAAGGACAAAACAGAAAAGAGCUCAAUGGUCCUCUGUGGAGGGAAGACCCGCCGACUCCCAUUUGGGAUGAGCAUAAUGCCUGCAAGGUCGGUUGAGAAGAUUGUGCUAGCACAGAAGAAAAUCAUCCUUGAUUAUAAGAUG